ACAUUUAAGAUUGUACUAUGAUAACUGCAUUGUUUCGGUGUGGAUCGUGAGAGCGGGACCAAAUCAAGCAAACUAUGAAUAUAUGACCUCAAAAUAACAAGGGUCAAGGUCGGUUAGUGAGACCAUGUGAGAUAAGCUUCAUCGUCGAAAGGGAAACAACCUGGAUCACCAACUAAGGCCCCUAAACGACUCCUCAAUGAUAAAGGAGGUAGGGAUGUAGAAACAACCAAGAGAUUUGCCUGCAACCACCUUUGAAAGAGUGUCUAA
rnacentral:ncRNA from 1 species